GGAGUUUGGUCCGUGUCUCAGUACCAAUGUGGGGGACCUUCCUCUCAGAACCCCUACUGAUCGUCGGCUAGGUGGGCCGUUACCCCGCCUACAACCUAAUCAGACGCAUCCCCAUCCCAUAGCGGUGAACCUUUGGUAUUCUUCUAAUGGCAUCGGAAUACAACAUAGAGCAUUAAUCCGACUUUCGCCGGGCUAUUCUCUACUAUGGGGAAGGUUGGAUACGCGUUACUCACACGUGCGCCGGUCGCCAUCAUCGGUUGCAAGCAACCGACAUGCUGCCCCUCGACUUGCAUGUGUUAAGCCUGUAGCUAGCGUUCAUC
rnacentral:rRNA from 1 species